rnacentral:rRNA from 1 species
UACGGAGGAUGCAAGCGUUAUCCGGAAUGAUUGGGCGUAAAGCGUCCGCAGGUGGCUAUGUAAGUCUGCUGUUAAAGAGUGAGGCUCAACCUCAUAAAAGCAGUGGAAACUACAUGGCUAGAGUGCGUUCGGGGCAGAGGGAAUUCCUGGUGUAGCGGUGAAAUGCGUAGAUAUCAGGAAGAACACCGGUGGCGAAAGCACUCUGCUAGGCCGCAACUGACACUGAGGGACGAAAGCUAGGGGAGCGAAUGGG